rnacentral:lncRNA from 13 species
AAUUGAAUCAUGGGGGCAGAGCGUUCCUGUGCUGCGCUUGUGGUAGUGAAUAAGUCUCGCGAGAUCUGAUGGUUAUAAAAGUGAGCGUUCCUCCAUAGAGGCGCUCGCUCGCCUGCCGCUGUGUAAGACGUCUCUUUGCUCUUCUGCCUUAAUUGUGAGGCCUUCUCAGCCGUGUGGAACUGUCAGUGGGCCUCAAAGGCAACAAUACAUCAGUACUGUCUGAAGAACUUCUCAAAUACGUGCUCCUUUCUAGGAUCCAGACACAGGAUAAGAAUUGGACUAUCAAAACGACCUAAAAUGUCAAAGAAUUACUCAUAAGAGACAUGGUAGGGAGAAGAUGUUCAUGUCCUAAUCCUCAGAACCUAUGAAAAAGUUACAUGGAAAGUGAAGAAUUAAAGUUACAGGCUGAUGGGCUACUUAGGCCUGAUGGUGCUCAAGCAAAGAUGCAGAGGCAAGCAGAAAGUUGCAGGGCUCUUAUGGCAUCGUCUCAGAAUCAAUGCUUCUGUGAGAAGAACUGCAAAGUCAGAAGACAAGGUAAAUACAGGGGUGAGUGCAGAACUGAGGCUGAAGAUCCAUCUAUCAGAGCUAGGCUUUGCCACAGUGAACUUCCACUCAGCCUUUCAUGGGAAUCCUAUUUCAUGGGAAUCCUGAAUGGGUGAUUAGUUCUGAUCACUCCUUGUAUGAAUCAUUCUUCCAUAUUUGGUAGAUCAGUGUUUUCUGUAAAGAUCAGACAGUCACUAUUUUAAGCUUUGUGGACUACGUUGUUGUUGCCACAAUUGCUCUGUUCUGCAAUUGGUGCAUGGAAGCAGCUAGAGACAAUGCAUAAAUAACACUUUAUUUUAAAAAACUGUCCACAGAUUGGAUUUGGCAUGUAGGUUGUAGUUUGCUGACUUUUGGUCUAUGCUGUGGUUUGAAUGUGGUCUCUUUGGCCCCACCAAAGUGCAUGUUGAAAUUUGGUUUUCAAUGUGGUGGUGUUAAGAGGCAGGAUUUAAUGAGCAGCUUUUGAGUGAUGAAGGCUCCGAGCUUUCUGGAGACUGGAUUAGUUCUAGAGAACUAACAUAACACUCCUAGAGAGUAGGGUGUUAUAAAGCCAGAAGGCCUCCCAGUUUGUUUCUUCGAACAUGUCUGCUCUUCUUCAAACUUGUCUGCCAUGUUGUAAUACAGCACGAAAGCCCUUACCAGAAGCCAGGACCAUGCUCUUGAACUUCCCUGCCUGCAGAACCAUUAGCUAAAUAAAUUUCUCUAUAAACCUCUUUUAUUUAUAAAC